UACGAAGGGGCUAGCGUUGCUCGGAAUCACUGGGCGUAAAAGCGCACGUAGGCGGAUCGUUAAGUCGGGGGGUGAAAUCCUGGAGCUCAACUCCAGAACUGCCUCCGAUACUGGCGAUCUUUGGAGUCCGGGGAGAGGUGAGUGGAAACUCCGAGUGUAGAGGUGAAAAUUCGUAGAUAUUUCGGAAGAACACCAGUGGGCGAAAGGCGGCU
rnacentral:rRNA from 1 species